UACGAAGGGUGCGAGCGUUGUCCGGAAUUAUUGGGCGUAAAGAGCUCGUAGGCGGUUUGUCGCGUCGACUGUGAAAACCCGAGGCUUAACCUCGGGCCUGCAGUCGAUACGGGCAGACUAGAGUUCGGUAGGGGAGACUGGAAUUCCUGGUGUAGCGGUGAAAUGCGCAGAUAUCAGGAGGAACACCGGUGGCGAAGGCGAGUCCCUGGACAACUCCUGACACUGAGGCACGAAAGCUAGGGGAGCAAACAGG
rnacentral:rRNA from 1 species